GACGAACGCUGGCGGCGUGCUUAACACAUGCAAGUCGAACGGGAUCCCAAGGCUUUUUGUUUUUGGUGAGAGUGGCGACCGGGUGAGUAACACGUGAGUAACCUGCCUCCUUCUUUUGGAUAACCGCAUGAAAGUGUGGCUAAUACAGGAUAUUCCAGGCUGGUCGCAUGAUGGGUUUGGGAGAUGGUUUGGUCUGGUGGGGGAUGGGCUCGCGGCCUAUCAGCGUGGUGGUGGGGUGAUGGCCUAGCAAGGCGGUGACGGGUAGCCGGCCGGGGAGGGUGGCCGGUGACAGUGGGAGGGAGAUACGGGACAGAGUUCUACGGGAGGCAGCAGUGGGGGAUUGUGGACAAGGGGCGCAAGCCUGAGGCAGAGGCGUGGUGUGGGGGAGCAAGGCGUGCGGGGUGUGACCCUGUGUCGCUGGGUUGAAAGGCCAUGCUUUGGGUGUGGUUGAUUUGAACUGGUAAAGAAGUACCGGCUAACUACGUG
rnacentral:rRNA from 1 species